rnacentral:rRNA from 1 species
UGGGGAAUAUUGCACGAUGGGCGCAAGCCUGAUGCAGCAACGCCGCGUGAGGGAUGACGGCCUUCGGGUUGUAAACCUCUUUUAGUAGGGAAGAAGCGAAAGUGACGGUACCUGCAGAAAAAAGCACCGGCUAACUACGUGCCAGCAGCCGCGGUAAUACGUAGGGUGCGAGCGUUGUCCGGAAUUAUUGGGCGUAAAGAGCUCGUAGGCGGUCUGUCGCGUCUGCUGUGAAAACCCCGAGGCUCAACCUCGGGGCCUGCAGUGGGUACGGGGCAGACUAGAGUGCGGUAGGGGAGAAUGGAAUUCCUGGUGUAGCGGUGGAAUGCGCAGAUAUCAGGAGGAACACCGAUGGCGAAGGCAGUUCUCUGGGCCGUAACUGACGCUGAGGAGCGAAAAGCGUGGGGAGCGAAACAGGAUUAGAUACCCUGGUAGUCCACGCCGUAAACGUUGGGCGCUAGAUGUGGGGACCAUUCCACGGUUUCCGUGUCGCAGCUAACGCAUUAAGCGCCCCGCCUGGGGAGUACGGCCGCAAGGCU